AAAGUAAUCUAUGUUUUUUUUUUUUACAGUUAAUAGCCUGCCUCCCCUCUUGAUAAUGAGAAACAACAGAGCUGUAACCAAGGAGAAGCCCAGCCACAGAGAGAGCGUAAAGUCAGAUCGAUGUACUAUGGAUAGGAUACCCUGUCUGCUACAAAGUUGCAGUUGCGAGGAGGGGGGAAGUGUAGCUGCAGGCAGCCACGGAGAAGGAGU